rnacentral:rRNA from 1 species
UACGAAGGGGGCUAGCGUUGCUCGGAAUUACUGGGCGUAAAGCGCACGUAGGCGGCUUUCUAAGUCGGGGGUGAAAUCCUGGAGCUCAACUCCAGAACUGCCCUUCGAUACUGGAGAGCUUGAGUCCGGGAGAGGUGAGUGGAACUGCGAGUGUAGAGGUGAAAUUCGUAGAUAUUCGCAAGAACACCAGUGGCGAAGGCGGCUCACUGGCCCGGUACUGACGCUGAGGUGCGAAAGCGUGGGUAGCAAACGAGG